UCGGACGUGGUGUACUGAACACAGCCUCUUUCAGUAACAAAUCAACUCCUAUGUUGGAGGCAGAGCCGGGUUCGAAUCCCGGCGUCCGAG